rnacentral:lncRNA from 1 species
AGUACUGGGGCGUUGCUAGCCCUCCUUAGAGAGGGCGAGGGAGAGGAGGAUGCUGUGCCUGGAAAGCGGCUCUUGAGGAGAGCUGGAAUCUCGGCAAAGCGUCCACUCCCUCCCCUCCCCUUUCCUCUCACCUCUAGUGUUCCCACCAGCCCCGGGGAGGAGACAAAGGACGUGGGAGGGCAGCAGCAUGCAGGGGGCCUGCCUUUGACGCCCAGGAGUUGAACACCAGACAGAAAAUGAAAUCUAAACAUUUACCCAGAGCCCUGGGCUAGAAAUGGGCCAACCUGACCCUGGAAAACAAACAACCCGCGUCACCGCCACACCUGCUGCAGGCCCCAGAUGCCACAGUGUAUUUCAUGGGCCUCUCUGUAAGGUGGCUAUCUGUUGUGAAGUCUGAGGGGACUGGGUCCCCUCCCAUCCCCCAGCCCCUGCUCUCUGGGAAGUCUGCUGGGUGUGCUGGGCCGGCUCCUGGACAAGCUGAAGCCGAGGACUGCAGCAACUCUUCCCAUCAUCACCCUGGCUGCUGUGGGGAAGCUGGCAGUUUUCUGGAAGACUGCUUGCUUGGAAUGCUUAGCAUCCUCCCAGGCUUCUGACUCUCCACUGGGGAUGCAGAAGGUCUGCAUUGCAGUUUAAUCCACUACUGAGAAUUCCUGUGCUUCUAGAAACCAUCCUCUCACCUCCGAGGGACUCCAUCUUGUCAGCUGCCCAGAGGAGACAAAACGGAACACUGCCCCAUGGCUCAGUGCUUUGCACAGUUGUCAGCUCCUUGGCUGGCAAGCAUCAGAUUGAUUAAAAGGAGGUUUUCUCAGACAUAAUCCUGCCCACUAGCCAGCCAAACAUGUAUGCAAAAUGAAUGGCAGUACUGGGAGGGGCUCUGUCCAGCCACCCUGGACAUGGGUGUGAGUGUGCAUGUGGGGUGUGGGUGUGUGCAUUGUGAAAGUAAAAAGGGUGUGGGGUACAGAAAGAAA